CCGCUCCUGGGGGUGAGGCAGGUGUGCAUGGGGCCGGCUGAGGACACAGUCACAGGCCACCACAGGACAGUGACCUUCCUUGUGCUGGCCCUCUCACCCCAUGAGAAGCUGGUAUGUGUGCAAGGGCCCUCAGGCUGCAGAGAGCAAGGCAAGGUGGCCUGCUCCUCAUCACCGUGGCCGGGCCACAGGGCGUUCCCAGGUCCCCAUGUGGACCACCCACUGUCCAGGCAGGGGGCUGAGGGUGGGCAGCAGGCACAGACCACCUGUGAGCCUGCACCUCACUGACCUGCCACCCUAGGGCGCCCAGCCUCCUUCUCCAGAGCACUGCCCAGCAGCCCUGCAGCCCGGAGCCCUCUCCCCGCAGGCCCCAGGCCCAGCCCUGACCCCGCCCCACAGACAGGACCAUGAAGGCCAAGGUCGUGGAGGAGUUCCACAGAGUGCUCCAGACACUGUCCCAGCCCAUGGGGUCUUCCUGGACUGUCCCAGGGGGAGGUAGACCCAGGCCACCCCAGCUCUGGGUGCAGCCCUCUGCCCCUCAGCAGGAAGCCAGGGCGCCCGAGUCCACUGCUGGUCCCCCAGGAGCAGGGCAGCACCCUCUGUCCUGCGGGCCCUCCCCAGUCCUGCCGGCCUCCCAGGUGGGGUGGGUGGGUGCAGGACUCCCCCAGGGGUGCCGCCUCCCUCCCCUGAGCCCCAGAUCCUCCCCCGGGCUGCUGAGUCCCCACCACGUCUCUUGUCCCCUGACGCCCUGUUGCCCUUCCUCUGCAGAGCAGUGCUGCGUCUGGGGAGCUCCUGUGGGUCCUGCCCCCAGGGCCUGGCACGCCCACCUGGGUCCCCAGGCAGGUGGCCCUGCAGGAUGGGCAGGAUCCUGGGGUUGGUCUUACCAUCAUGGAGGUCAGGCUGGAUGCAGUCAGUGUCCAGGGGCCAGCACGAUGUGUCCCACUGCCCUGCUGUGGGGUCCCGUGCUUCCUCCUGGGCUCAGGGCCUGGUGUGGAGGUGAGAGGCUGGGGGCGGGGGGCUCCUGCUCACAGGGAUGGAACAGGAAGCCAGGAUAGGGACUGUCAUAACCACAGCACCAAGGGGGUGUCCGCAGCCCCACCCCAGUGUCCUCAACAUGCAGAUCUUCCUUUGUCUACUUACGUUACCUUUAAACCAAAAUCCUUGGCCUCCUCCACGGGUCAAGCUGACCCCUGCCCUCCUGUGCCUCCAGAGAGGCCUCCUCCUGUCCUUCCCAGGGGUGUUGACGAGCUGAGGAGGUAGCCACCUGUGUGCUCUGCGUCCUCUGCGGAGCCUGCUCUCUGACUGAGGGUGCAGGUGCCGGCACCAGCCACUGGGACUCGCGCAGACCCACAGGCGCUACUGAGAAACGGAUGUGACUCCAUUUUUGAGAAACCAGCUUCUACCUCAAGGCCUGUCCUAAGGAAGGGGGUGUGACCCUUGUCUUGGGAAAAACCCCCAGAGUACUCCUAAGCACACACCCACCCUGCUGAGUUGUUUGUCUGCACAUAACAGGAGAGGUCUGUGGCACCAGGUGUCCCCGACUCUGUCAGGCUAGGUGAAGACCCAAAGCAGCCCCCUAGCAACCUCUAAUCAGCAUGAGACAGGGAAAUACCUGGGAAGCCAGAUGACCCCCCAGUAGUUUAUGGUGGUUGAUAACAUGUUGGGAAACCAGGUCGUUCAGCACGAACACCCCUCGUGGCCUAAACCAAUCAGUUCAAAGGAACCCCCUCUUGUACUAGCCAAUCACCCCUACCCAACUUGUUCCCGCCAGUGAAUGAGCUAAUCAAUGUUGUUUGACUUUCCCGCAGUGUGGAAUGAUUUGCUGUGUGAUGUUGUGACGCAUACAGUAUCCCCCCAAAACCUAUAAAAUCUCACUGAACAAAGGACCGGGACUCACUCCCUGGGACCGCUGCGUCGGGAACGGUUGUGAGUCCAGGCUCGAGCUUGCAAUAAAGACUCUUGUGUGAUGGCAUCGGAUUCGGCUCCUGGAGGUCUACUGGGGUCCCAGGAAUCUGGCAUUACACUACUGCUGGGGAAAGGCCUCAGCUCAUCACCUACAGAAGAAGAACGUCCAUUUCCACAAAAAAUUGUGAAAAAUCUAGAAAAGUGAAUACAGAACAUGGUCUCAGAAUGCAGGAGCCGGAGGGAGCGCAGGGCCCUUGGUGCAAGAGCAGAGCAGGUGGGAGAGAAGCGUAGAAGGGAGGGGAAGAGAGAGAAAACAGCAAGGAAUUAGGAAAUCCAGAGACGCCAACUAGAAAUGUCUGCACCUCUGCCCCAGACAGGAGUGAGGAAGGUGGGGAUUCAGCCCACCUGUCAGAAGCUACCAGAAAAAAUUCCCCAAACCAAAUUCCAGAAACCACCAAUGACACAGAUUGGGAGAGAGUUAAUUAAAAGAGUCACAGGGAUUAUACUUUCACAAUAUAUUCUAACCUUUUUUUUUUUUUUGGAGCAGGGGGUGUGCUAGAGAUUGAACCCAGGGUGCUUUACCAUUGAGCCACAUCCCCAGCCCUUUGUAUCUUUUUUAUUUUAAGACAGGGCCUCCUCAAGUUGCUUAGGGUCUUGCUAAGUUGCUGAGGCUGGCCUUCAACUUAUAAUCCUCCUGUCUCAGCCUCCCAGGUGCCUGGGAUAUGCUAACAUUUAAUAUUUCCAGAUGGACGGCUUUGAAGCCAAAUGUAAUUGCCCGUGAAGAUCAGGAAAGACUGUAAAAAUGCAAGCAGGGCCCUCACAGGGCAGAUGGCAGCCACAUGCAUAGAGCCUGGCCCGCAUCCAGGUGCUAGGGAGGUGGCUGGUCUCCUGCUCCUGUAGGGAACCAUGAACCCGGACACUUGCUUGGUUCCAGGCACGGCCUCCCAGCUCCUCAGCACUGGGAAAACACCUCCAUCCCAACCUGCAGACACAGCACAGUGAAGGAGGGCCAGGCCACAGACCCUUAGAGCUAAGGCACCAAGGGACAUCCCAGUGCCUCACAGAACAGCCUGACAGAGGCCAUUACUGUCCUCACGGCCAGGCGGUAGCCCGUGCCUGGACCAGCACUUGGGCCCAAGGACCACACUUGGGUGUGGCGCCUCCUGCCUCCACCCCAAGCUGCCCUACACCCCACAGCACUGUCCCCAGAGCCCAGCAGAUGGGCCAUAAGAGGAGG
rnacentral:lncRNA from 1 species